UACGAAGAGGGCUAGCGUUGCUCGGAAUCACUGGGCGUAAAGCGCACGUAGGCGGAUCUUUAAGUCAGGGGUGAAAUCCUGGAGCUCAACUCCAGAACUGCCUUUGAUACUGGGGAUCUUGAGUCCGGAAGAGGUGAGUGGAACUCCGAGUGUAGAGGUGAAAUUCGUAGAUAUUCGGAAGAACACCAGUGGCGAAGGCGGCUCACUGGUCCGGUACUGACGCUGAGGUGCGAAAGCGUGGGGAGCAAACAGG
rnacentral:rRNA from 1 species